rnacentral:rRNA from 1 species
GACGAACGCUGGCGGCGUGCUUAACACAUGCAAGUCGAACGGUGAAAGGGAGCUUGCUCCCUGGAUCAGUGGCGAACGGGUGAGUAACACGUGGGCAACCUGCCCCAGACUUCGGGAUAACGCUUCGAAAGGAGUGCUAAUACCGGAUACGAACUCCUUGGGCAUCCUUGGGGUUGGAAAGUUUUUCGGUCUGGGAUGGGCCCGCGGCCUAUCAGCUUGGCGGUGAGGUAACGGCUCACCAAGGCGACGACGGGUAGCCGGCCUGAGAGGGCGACGGGCCACACUGGGACUGAGACACGGCCCAGACUCCUACGGGAGGCAGCAGUGGGGAAUAUUGCGCAAUGGGCGAAAGCCUGACGCAGCAACGCCGCGUAAGGGAUUACGGCCUUCGGGUUGUAAACCUCUUUCAGCAGGGAAGAAGCGAAAGUGACGGUACCUGCAGAAGAAGCACCGGCUAACUACGUGCCAGCAGCCGCCGCGG